rnacentral:rRNA from 1 species
GAUGAACGCUAGCUACAUGCUUAACACAUGCAAGUCGAGGGCCCGGCGCACGGGUGAGUCACACGUAUCCAACCUGCCCUUUACUCGGGGAUAGCCUUUCGAAAGAAAGAUUAAUACUCGAUGUAAAGGUUGGGGAUGCGUUCCAUUAGGUUGUUGUUGAGGUAACGGCUCACCAAGCCUUCGAUGGAUAGGGGUUCUGAGAGGAAGGUCCCCCACAUUGGAACUGAGACACGUGCCAAACUCCUACGGGAGGCAGCAGUGAGGAAUAUUGGUCAAUGUGCGGUAGCCUGAACCAGCCAAGUAGCGUGAAGGAUGAAGGCUUAUGGGUCGUAAACUUCUUUUAUAUAAGAAUAUGUAUUAUAUGAAUAAGGAUCGGCUAACUCCGUGCCAGCCGCCGCGGUAAUUC